rnacentral:rRNA from 1 species
GUGGGGAAUAUUGGACAAUGGGCGGAAGCCUGAUCCAGCCAUGCCGCGUGUGUGAAGAAGGUCUUCGGAUUGUAAAGCACUUUAAGUUGGGAGGAAGGGCAGUAAGCUAAUACCUUGCUGUUUUGACGUUACCGACAGAAUAAGCACCGGCUAACUUCGUGCCAGCAGCCGCGGUAAUACGAAGGGUGCAAGCGUUAAUCGGAAUUACUGGGCGUAAAGCGCGCGUAGGUGGUUCAGCAAGGUGGAGGUGAAAUCCCCGGGCUCAACCUGGGAACUGCCUCCAAAACUACUGAGCUAGAGUACGGUAGAGGGUAGUGGAAUUUCCUGUGUAGCGGUGAAAUGCGUAGAUAUAGGAAGGAACACCAGUGGCGAAGGCGACUACCUGGACUGAUACUGACACUGAGGUGCGAAAGCGUGGGGAGCAAACAGGAUUAGAAACCCGUGUAGUCC